GUGGUUACUGACAGUCUAUUAGAGAAGGUUAGCCCUCCCCUUUGAGGAUGGACAAAGUCCUCGUGGAUUACAGCACACAAAUGGUUAAGGCAUUUCCAUCUACUUAGUGGCAUUAGUCCCAGAUGAUGU